GAUGAACGCUAGCGGCAGGCUUAAUACAUGCAAGUCGAGGGACAGCACAGGUAGCAAUACUGGGUGGUAACCGGCAAACGGGUGCGGAACACGUACACAACCUUCCUUUAAGUGGGGGAUAGCCCAGAGAAAUUUGGAUUAAUACCCCGUAAUAUAGUUGAAUGGCAUCAUUUGAUUAUUAUAGCUACGGCGCUUAAUGAUGGGUGUGCGGCUGAUUAGAUAGUUGGCGGGGUAACGGCCCACCAAGUCUACGAUCAGUAGCUGAUGUGAGAGCAUGAUCAGCCAAACGGGCACUGAGACACGGGCCCGACUCCUACGGGAGGCAGCAGUAAGGAAUAUUGGUCAAUGGACGCAAGUCUGAAACAGCCAUGCCGCGUGAAGGAUUAAGGUCCUCUGGAUUGUAAACUUCUUUUAUUUGGGACGAAAAAGGGCCUUUCUAGGUCAACUGACGGUACCAGAUGAAUAAGCACCGGCUAACUCCGUGCCAGCAGCCGCAGUAACAC
rnacentral:rRNA from 1 species